UGGGGAAUCUUGCACAAUGGGGGCAACCCUGAUGCAGCGACGCCGCGUGAGCGAUGAAGGUUUUCGAAUCGUAAAGCUCUGUCCUAUGGGAAGAUAAUGACGGUACCAUAGGAGGAAGCCCCGGCUAACUACGUGCCAGCAGCCGCGGUAAUACGUAGGGGGCGAGCGUUGUCCGGAAUUACUGGGCGUAAAGGGUUCGCAGGCGGCAUGGCAAGUCCGAUGUAAAAGGCGAAGGCUCAACCUUCGUAAGCAUCGGAAACUGUCAAGCUUGAGUGAAGGAGAGGCAAGUGGAAUUCCUAGUGUAGCGGUGGAAUGCGUAGAUAUUAGGAGGAAUACCGGUGGCGAAGGCGACCUGCUGGACUUCAACUGACGCUGAGGAACGAAAGCGUGGGUAGCAAACAGG
rnacentral:rRNA from 1 species